CUACACACAUUCAACACAGCUAUAGGGUAAGUUUUGCCAUGUGUCAAUCACACAAUGCUGCAGAAGAAAUCCUAGCUAGACAAGAUCACAAAUACUUUGCUUCUUCUGGCCAUCAGUUUGAAUUUCGUUUCCUCCCUUUCAUCUCUUUGCUUGCUGGGCCAAACUUUUUUACCCAGCCCAGUCCAAUAAGCCCAAGGAUGGCAAACAAACAAAAAAUGGUCAGAACUCAUAAGCAAGCUGUUGUCGUGUUGUCGUUUUCAGCAUGCGAGUGAUUUUCUUCAUUUGGGUAACAAACCUGUUGCUCCUUUCUCUGCUGCAAGCUCCUUUCACUGAUCUAGGUUUCAAAUUCAAAUUUCAAAUCCCCCUCAAAAUGUCUUUUGUGGCAUCUCUAUUUGCACACACAAUCUCUCUCCCUCUUCUACCUUCAUUCAAUACAUGCCAAUCUCUCUGCGUCAAUUUCUCUGCUUCAUCUCCCAGAAUCUAGAUAACAAUUUUUUUCUCUCUUUGUUUUCACUUUGGUACAGAUUAACUUCCAUUAUUAAUGAUUAGUUAAUGUGUUAUUUUCCUCACAGAUUCACACUUCCAUCGCAAUUUUCAGUUUUUAUUGUUUGUUCAGGUUCACAAUUAGAGUUUGAUUGGGCCAAAAGAUUUGUAGACUAUUUGGCUACUUUGGUCCUCUAAAUGCAGUUUUCGUGCCUCAUGAUGAUUAUAUUAGGCCAUGUUAUUCAGUCUCAUGGAACUAAACUCUUAGAUGCAGCAUGCAGCCGCCUCAGUUGUAGAAAAUUUGGGACUGUAUUAUAUUUCAAGAAUCGAUAUACAUUUUGUUUGCAAGCUAAAUUCACCUGAAACUUCUGUUUUAAAGGCUUUGGAUUGCGCAAUCUUGAUAAAUUUGUUUUAUACUUGCAGGCUUUACCCGGUCUGCAGUUGACUUCACUUAACAGAGUUAUUGUCCAGAGCAUGAAUGGGAAGAAAAGACAUGAAAAGCUCCUUUUGCUGUUGUAAGUACAGUUGCAGAGAGUGUGAGAGCUCAUGCCAUUGUUGAUGUUGCUGCUGGUCAGCAAAAUGACAUACCUAUGAUUCCUAAGAUGCUCAGAAAAUAUGAAGUUCUUCUAUUUUGUUUACAAAUUGAGAUAGUAUGCUGAUUUUUUCCAUUGGAAUGGCUUGGUGAAACUUGUGAUUUCUUUCUUCUCUGUCCGGACAAGAAAGUGCAGAUAGUAUAUGGCUCACUACCUUUUGAUCUUGAGGCUGGUCAUAAGAUACUACCAAAUAUAAUUCCCUGGAAUUUUCGCUCAGAGUUAUCCACACUAAUCGAGAAGGAGGUUGCCAAGUCAAUGACCAUAAUAGAAAACAACUCAAACUGGGAAGGGUUAGCUAAUGAAGAGCUUUGCAUAGAAACUGAUUAUUUAGCUAUUCUUGAUGGCACUUCUGUUGUAUGGCUACUUUGUUAUCAAUUUAGUUAUGUAAACAUCUUGGUUGCUAAUCUGUUGAGGUGUACAAUUUUAUUUUUUCAAUUUUUAGUGCAACUUAUACAGUGGAAUUGUUGACUGGAAAAGAUUAUGUAAGUAUAUUUUAAGGUUGUUUCAAGUCUUUUCCUAAAAGUGAAGUGAAGAAAUUUCAAGUUAUCCCAAUUUAUGGAAACAAUUUUGUAUAGAAGAAAUUGUAGGUUUUAAAAGUGAAAGUUUAUUGACAAAAAACACGAGGAGUGUCCGAUAUGGAUGCUGAAUGGAAUAAAUUUCAAGUUA